rnacentral:misc_RNA from 1 species
GAAAUGCGAUACUUGGUGUGAAUUGCAGAAUUCAGUGAAUCAUCGAAUCUUUGAACGCACAUUGCGCCCGCCAGUAUUCUGGCGGGCAUGCCUGUUCGAGCGUCAUUUCAACCAUCAAGCCCUAGGCUUGUGUUGGGGACCUGCGGCUGCCGCAGGCCCUGAAAAUCAGUGGCGGUGCCAUCUGGCUCUAAGCGUAGUAAUUUCUCUCGCUUUGGAGGCCGGGUGUGUGCUUGCCAGCAACCCCCAAUUUUUUUCAGGUUGACCUCGGAUCAGGUAGGGAUACCCGCUGAACUUAA